rnacentral:lncRNA from 1 species
GAAGACCUCCUAGCCAUCCUCGACUCACACAGCGGCUUACCAAUUUUGUCGCGCGUCCGCCUCCUUCCGUGGCUCGUCGUCUGCGCACCUGCAUCACCGGUAUGGAGUACCUGCGCCGUUCCGCCCAUAUUCCAAUUUCAUUUUGCACUUGGUAGUUGACGUAGUCUCUGGAGCUUUGCGGCGUGGUGCUCUGGCGGGCCAUCACCGUCGCUCACGGGCGGCGCCGCCGUGCUCAAUCCGUGGGGGGAAGACGCUCUCUGGGUCGUCCAUCUCGGAUGUGUGGCUGCGAUUAGAGCUAGGAUAAUCCUUCGGUGCUUGUGAUCCUAACCGUUGGUAAGAGAUCCAGUGGUAGAUAUUCGAUCAUCGCGGCGGGUAUUGCGGGUUGUACGAUUUAAAUCCAGCGGCCAUCGCGCGCUCACUGGUUAGCUCAGCUAAGUGAUUUGAUCUCGGCCGUGGAGAUCUGAUUGGGCGGCUAAGAUCCGUGGGUACCCCUUCGUGGGUACUAUUUGUUAAAGAGCCCUCGGAUUUUUAUUAAAAUAACCCGCCGUCCAUAGGAAUAGUGCGAUGAGUCUGGGAAAUUCUUUCGCGUUAGCCCCUGCGCUUUCCUGUAAUUGACGCCCAGUCCAGAAGAUUAGAAAAUCCAUUAAAAAUAAAUAGAAAUUGAUUUUUGAUGCAUAAAUAAAUGCUAGAAUUUGUUUAAUCCAUAGAAAAUGCAUAUGAACUCCAAAUUGAUCCAUUCCAGUUCCUAAUUUUUUGUAAUAUUAUUGUCUAUCCAUUAGUGCCUCUGUUUUGACAUGAAAGACACAUUAAAAUUUAUCUAGUACUUAAUCUUGUAUUAAAUACAUAAAACCUUUGGAAAUUCAUAACUCAAAAUAUAUAACUCCAAAUUUAAUGAUUCCAGUUCCUAUGAUCUUAUUUUAGUGUCUAGAUUAUUACUGUGUAUUUUAUUUACUUGUUUGGUGUGACGUUAAUUUUUGCUAUGCUAUGUAUGUAUUGUGUUGAUGCGAGUAGACGAGCAAGCUACGGAGGAUUCUGAGGUUCAGCUGGUAGAGACUGCUGAGCAGGAGCUCGUUGAAGGCAAGUUGUGCCCUUGAUCACUUCUUUACCCAUUCAUGUUCUUAUUAAUCAUAAUGAUCUGCAUAGGUUAAUUUCGCUGGGACCCAAUAGGAUACCCUAGAUUUAACUAUCUAUAUGCCUUGUUUCACCACUGGUUUUACUACUAAAUUUUUGGGUAGUACAAGCUAUUGCUUUAUGUGGAUUUGGGUAUAGAGAUAUUUAUUACUCAUGAUUACACUUUUUAUUAUCUAUUUAUUCUUUACUGUUCAUGAUAAGAUCAUUAUGUUAAUGGGAACAUGGAGAACCACCCGGGAAAACAGUGCUACCACAAGGGUUUAAUGGGACGCCCUUGGCUGAUUAACUAGGAAAGCUAGUGGAUGACUACCUUACCUGAAAGGGGCAAGGGCAAUAGGGGAGUGGUCAGUGUAGGGAGGUCCUUGGGUUGAUUUUGCUGCGAUGGCGGUCAGGCGAGGGAUUCCUGCACUAGAGCUUCCUAUAAACUGUAGCGGGUAGUCUGAAGCUAGUGGAACUUUGUAAAGGCCUCGUAGUGGUAUCCUGCCUCGCUUCCUUGGUAGAGGUGUAUGGGGUCUGAUCAACUCCGUGGCAAAUGGGUAACACGACUUGUGGGUAAAGAUGCGCAACCUCUGCAGAGUGUAAAACUGGUAUACUAGUCGUGCUCACGGUCAUGAGCGCCUCGGACACUCACAUGAUUAACUUAUGGAACCUAAACUUAAUUUGUCAUUUCAUUGCAUUUGGGAUUAUUUUAUUAUUACUUUUACUUAUUAUUUCUAAGGUUUGGUAUUUACUUACACUUAGUAACUGCUAAUAAAAUUUUGACCAACUUCUAAAAGCAAUGCUCAGCUUUAGCCUCUAUUUCAUUGAUCAGCCUUACACUUCAUGAACUCCCACCUUUGGUGAGUUCAUGCCACAAUAUUCCCCACAACUUGUUGAGCGAUGAACAUGUGUGAGCUCACUCUUGCUGUCUCACACCCCCCCCCACAGGAGAAGAAAAGGUGGUCGAAGAGGAGCCGCCUAACAUCGAGGCUUUCGAUUUGAUCUAGGUGGCGUCUCCCAGUCAGCUUUCUAGCACCAAUGAUAAAUUUUAGUUCCUGCGAUAUUCAUAUUUUAUUUUUG